rnacentral:rRNA from 1 species
UGUAAGCGUAUACCAAAGUUGUUGCAGUUAAAACGCUCGUAGUCGGAAUUUGGCAGUUCCGGAUGUGUGCACGUCGUGUGCGCACUUCGCGGGGAUUGCUUUUGUGGUCUUGCGUAGGAUGAGGCACUUUUAUUAGUGAACGUCCUCACGCAACCACUUUUUACUGUGAGAAAAUCAGAGUGCUCAAAGCAGGCAUUUGCCGUGAAUGUAUUAGCAUGGAAUAAUAGAAUAGGACUUGGUUCUAUUUGGUUGGUUUGUUGGGACUGAGUAAUGAUUAAGAGGGACAGUUGGGGGCAUUUGUAUUUCGGUGCUAGAGGUGAAAUUCUUAGAUUACCGAAAGACAAACUGCUGCGAAAGCGUCUGCCAAGGAUGUUUUCAUUGA